rnacentral:rRNA from 1 species
GACGACGCUGGCGGCGCGCCUAACACAUGCAAGUCGAACGAGAGAGAGGAAGCUUGCUUCCUCAAUCGAGUGGCGAACGGGUGAGUAACGCGUGGGUAACCUGCCUCACACUGGGGGAUAACAGUUAGAAAUAGCUGCUAAUACCGCAUAAGCGCACGGUUCCGCAUGGAACAGUGUGAAAAACUCCGGUGGUGUGAGAUGGACCCGCGUCUGAUUAGCUAGUUGGUGAGGUAACGGCCCACCAAGGCGACGAUCAGUAGCCGGACUGAGAGGUUGAACGGCCACAUUGGGACUGAGAUACGGCCCAGACUCCUACGGGAGGCAGCAGUGGGGAAUAUUGGGCAAUGGGCGCAAGCCUGACCCAGCAACGCCGCGUGAAGGAAGAAGGCUUUCGGGUUGUAAACUUCUUUUGUCAGGGACGAGCAGAAGACGGUACCUGACGAAUAAGCCACGGCUAACUACGUG